rnacentral:lncRNA from 1 species
UAGAGUAUAUACGUGUGUGUGUGUAUGGAAGCAUACAUGAAUUAGUUGAUGGAUUAUACAUAUAUAACAACAUAUAAAAUGACGGUCCGGGGCUCGUGGCAUGAAGGAACUGUUAUUGUGAGGAUGGGCCUUUAAGAAGAAUUUUACCACCAACGUAAUAAUAAUAAUAAUAAUAAUAAUAAUAAUAAUAAUACUAAUAAUCCUCGACGAAUUCAGUUUGCUUAGCCUUCUGGUUCUCUUCCACAGAAACGAAGGAGGAAAAUACAAACAAGUCGGAAAGUAAAUGUCAUGUUAGGAGAACUGGAAACAGUCGUUCCCACCCACCUCCAUGAGACAGAUCGACAUUCACCGGAAAGAAUAUAUAUAUAUAAUAGAAAAUUAUAUCUCAACUGAAACCUUAAGCAGGGGUUUCCUAAUUUAAGAAAACAGAGCUUUUAUUACGUAAGAUCAUAUCUACCUCCUGGUGGUAUAUAUUCAACCGUUACUCAAUCACAAGACUUGAAAAACCCCGAAAAAGACAGGGAGAGAUACUACUGAAAAGGAAUAUGGAAUAUUGAGGUUAAACGGGGCCAGUUAAAUCUGCUUUAGCUAGCCCCCUUUUUAACCCCCACGUGUGGUGGUGAGUGGUGAAGUCUGUCCACAAAACUUCUGGAUUUAUAUACAUAUAUAUAAAUUAUAUAUAUAUAUUGAAACACAUUUACCAUUCUGGAUAUUUAGUUCUUGUACCAACGGCU